GACUCUCGGCAACGGAUAUCUUGGCUCUUGCAUCGAUGAAGAACGUAGCGAAAUGCGAUACUUGGUGUGAAUUGCAGAAUCCCGUGAACCAUUGAGUCUUUGAACGCAAGUUGCGCCCUAGGCCCUACGGUUGAGGGCACGCCUGCCUGGGCGUCA
rnacentral:rRNA from 1 species